GUGCUCACUUUGGCAGUGCAUAUACUAAGAUUGGAACGAUACAGAGAAGAUUAGCAUGGCCCCUGUGCAAGGAUGACACGCAAAUUCAUGAAGCAUUCCAUAAUUCA
ensembl:snRNA U6 U6 spliceosomal RNA